UGAAGCAAAUUUAUCGAUUAAAUGGCGC
rnacentral:sRNA from 1 species